AUUUUUUGCAUCCAUCUCUUUUUCUAGAUUGGAUAAAUUUAAUGCUUAUCUUGUUUCCCAACUCUGAAGUUUCAAUCAAAUAUAGUUGGUAGUUGAUACAGAUACGACAUUGUUAUGUGUUAGUUCAUACUUAAUCGAAUGUUAUACUCCACCUUUUUAAUCAGUAAACGUUGAAGUGAGUCUGCUUUAGCACUUCAUUGAAUAAUACACUCCAUAUUUUUGAUUUAACACCCUGUCUUGGUUUCCAAAAGAGGAGCAGGAGGGCAAGGCCAGAGAAAUUGAUUGGUUUACUUCCUUCGGAUGAAGUACUGAUGAUGAACUUCCACUUGUUUGGGAAGUAAAAGUGACGUACUUCCUCUUUUCACUGUAGUUUUGAAGGGAUACUGCUUUAGCUUUUGCUUCCUACCUGGAGAAAUGACCCUUAUAAGUCAUCAUCUAAAUGAUUGGUUACGUCAGGAGGCAAAAGUGCUUAGAUAUAACUAAUUGUAGAAAGGUCAGUGUUAUUAAAGGCGAAAAGCGCAAAAAAGCUCUAAGGUUUAUUGGGGCUUUAAGCGCAAAGCGCAAAUAAAGCGUGGGUUUCAAUGAAGAAAGGCGCAAAUGGAGAAAAACGACAAAUAUAAUUAUGCUCAUUGGCAAGGAAAAGUAUGCCUUAAAGCUUGAUGACAACACUGAAGCGCCUUCUAAGCGAGGCGAAGCGCUCAACAUGUUUUGAGCCUCGCUUCAAGGCUUAAACGCGCAUUUGAAAACACUGUGAAAGGUAACUACACUUCUGGGCAUCCUAUGUUGGAAAUAGACAUAGAGCACUCGGCUGAGGAAAUAACUUGUAAAGGCAUUCACAAGCUUCUGGGCUUAUGCAUGCUAAAUCUUGAGUUAAAGGCUUAAUUUUCCAGCCUCCAAGGUUCUCGUUUCCUUUUUUGAUCAUAUUAUGGUGAACCUUCAAAUGCACACGGAGCGUACAGGAAAGAUAGGGCCUUGCCCUAUGUGCUUCUUUCUCUUCCCAGGAAUGAAGAACUUGAUUUAAAAUG